CUGACCUGUUCAAUCAAGGAGUCCCCUGUGCCCUUCCGUUCUGAGGUACAAAUUCCAAAUCCCAGCUAAUCAGAUGCAAUGAAAGGAUGUUGUUGGCUGGUGCAAGUUCUGACUUGCAUCACCACGGAAGGACGCCAGCCCUGGAUCUGUGCUCACGCCCGCUGACAGAACAGCCUUACAGGGCAGUGCACUGAUCUCCGUGUGCAGCUUGGCGCGUGUUUGCAUAGUUUCCCCAUCUGUGGAAUGGACCUAUGAAGCCGAUGACUCCCUACCCCCAGGGUGCUGUGCGGACAGAGGAAAUAACAUGGCGGAAGACGUAAGCGGCAAAGCUUGCCCAGGGCUGGACUGUGCUUGACAGCUUGUAUUCCCAAACGGAGCUUCACCCAGCGCCUGGACCAGCGGCACGUUAGCGAUUGUACAGACUCAGUCUACCUGUUGGGCGCCCUGGGGUGCUACGGGACUGUAUGGUCUCUGGGGUGACCCAGUAAGGUGUUAUCUGUACCUCAAAUGUGGUUUUACA